rnacentral:lncRNA from 1 species
GCAGCGGUAUGGUCUGGGGAGAGGAGGCUCACAGUACGUGAAUUCCGAGGGCUGAUGAAAUGGCUCUGGCCCUCUGGAUCUCUCCAUGCCAUGAACGAAUAAACGGGCAUGGGGGCAGGGCGGCGAAAUCAAACUCCAGUGUUCUCCGACAGACCAGUUCCUUCCUGAGCGCUACACAGACCUGUCAUCCACAGAUUUCCUCAUCGCUACACACUCCUGAUGUCUGUACCUGGAUGUCGCUGGACGCUUGUUGCUCUCUGCCCAUCCCCCAAGCCCCACAUCGAGACCUGUAUGAGAAGGAGGCUCAGUAAGAGUUUAAGGCAGAACAGCCACUUUCCACCAACAUCGUAUUCUUUGCGAAGUGUUUUCCCCUCUGUCACUCCAACUAUUUCUCGUCAAAUCCAUACAAGGGAGGUAUUUCACCCCAGAUGGUGGAUGAAGAAACUGCCCCUGUUGGCUUAGGAGGUAAGGUGGGGAGGCACCAUGAGGGGGCUUGUUCCCUAUUCCCAGGGCACCCCCCGGCCUUCCAAGGGAGGGGGAAGGAGGAGAGGGAA